GCCCGUUUAGCUUAGGGGUAGAGCGUUGCACUUGUAUUAGAUGCAAAGGUCACUGGUUCGAUUCCAGUAUCGGGCA
rnacentral:tRNA from 1 species